UUGGCUUAAACUCAAUGAGUAAGGAAACUAGCGCCCGACCUGACAAGUCGGGCUCGCAUUGUGGGUCCAGCGACCCACGAUCCCAUUUUUGACGGAGGUGGAAUGGCCGCCGCGUGACUGUCGCCCUACUUUGGCGGACGGCACGCGCGGUCGGUCCCCGCC
rnacentral:snRNA from 1 species